AAAGAAUAAGAAGAAAUAAAAAUACUGAAAACAUGAGCAAAAGAAAUGAAACAUCCCAAAAUGGGUCAGUGGUUAAUCUACACUAGGCUAAGAGGCUUUAGGCUGGGAAGAACUAGGUGCUUGGUUUUUGAGUUGGAGGAAAACAUCCCAAACCGGGUCGCUGCUUGGUCUACACUAGGCUAGGAGGCUUUAGGCUGGGAAGAACUAGGUGAUUGGUUUUGACUUGGAGGAAUUUCAGCACACCUUGAAGAAUGCCAUCAUUCUUCUCUUUUUCUCUUGCCAAAUCAGUUCUGAAAGCAUCUCUCUUAGUCUCCAUCUUAACCAACAUCUUCUUCAGUCUUUCAAUCUUAGCAUCCUUAACCUCACUUUCUUGCACCAAGGCACUGACCUUGCUAUUCACUGGUACCUUUUUGGAUGAACUAGGUUCUUUUGGAGUGACAUUGACUUCAUAAUCGCAAGCAAGCAUAGUAUUAACCCAAAAAUGAUCCAUGCUUGUACUAACCACCUUUUCUUAGGUAUAUUAAACGUUGACUUCAUAAUCGCAGGCAAAUAGAGUGUUAACCCAAAAAAUGAUCAAUGCUUGUACUAACCUCCAACCUUUUUUUAGGUACAUUGAAACAUGCAAACACAAUUGAGAAUGAAGCCAUAUGGAAUGGUAUGAGUUUUGGUGCCAUUGAUAACUCUAUCAAUAAGCUGGAUUAUAACUUUCUGUCACUUUCUUCAGCAGGUCUGCGAGGUUUUCCUCUACUGAUGAACCAAGUUCAUUUCCCCAAAGAACCAUUGCACAUGCGUCUUUGGCUAAACUCACAAGAGUGGGUGAAGAAUCAGCCACUCUUGUCCCCUUUCCCUUCACAGUACUCCUAGCACUCUUGGUCUUUUUUUUUAUUUUUACCACCAACUUCUCCAGAUUCCGCAGUCUCAACACUUGCUAUAGACCCUACAAAUUUAUUUUCCAAAUUUGCAGCAACUUUAGAAAUUUUCACAAAAGAAACUUUAGAAUCAAAAGAUUCAAUUUCGGAAGAUCCACUUUAUUCCACCUGAGUAGCAGACUUAAAAGAAUUUAGGUAGUUUAAUACGGUCAGGAGUCUUGAACGUAACUGGUUCACCUUUAAUGGAUAAGUUCAAAAGAACUUUGGUAUUUGAUAGGACUCUGCUCAUGAUCCAAAUAUAGUUAUUUCAAAUUAUGCAGAGUGUAGAAAACAUACCGUGUUAUCUUGUUGAACCAGGUUCUUUACUGAUAAUUCUCUUGUAUAAGUCUAAAUUUGCCAAAAUAGAGAAAAUAUCAUUAGAUAUUAAUGAGUCAAUUUAAUACAUGGAACAAGAGUGUACUGUGGAAAGUAUGAGACUGAGCAACAUUUUAUCUGACUAUACACAAUUUACAUACUUUCUAACCAAAUAUAUUUUUGUCAUUUUUCUCGUUUGACCUUGAACUAGUCCUUUUAGGUGAUCUUAAUCAUCUCUAAAUCCAACUUGUUCCUCUCAAAGUGAUCUCCACUUAAGCCUUUUGUUAAGAUGUCAGAAAUUUGCUUGUCAGCAGCACAAAACUCCACAGUGAUCAAGCCUUUCUCAUAGUUGUCCCUCAAAAAUGGUGUCUAACAUUUAUGUGCUUAGUUAUCUUAUGAUGAACCAGAUUCUUAGUCAUACUAAUAGCUCUAGUGUUAUCAUAAAAAAUAGGGAUACAACCAACUUCAAUAACAAAACCCAUCAACUGUUGCUUGAUCCACAAUAAUUGAGCACAAUCAUGAAGCAACAACAACAUACUCAGCUUCAGUAGUAGAUAAGGCCACUGAAUUUUGCUUUUUAGUAGCCCAUGGCACAACACAUGAACCAAGGAAGUGUGACAUACCUGAGGUGCUCUUCCUAUCCAUUAGGAAACAUGCAUAAUUAGCAUCAGCAUAUCCCACUUAAAAUUACUACCUUUUGAAUACCAAAGGCAAAGGUCAGUGGUGCCUUUCAAGUAUCUCAAUAUUCUCUUUACAUU
rnacentral:lncRNA from 1 species